ensembl:lncRNA
UUUAAGUCAAAAUCCACAUGUGAGACGUUGGAAGCACUUUUAUUAAAACACAGGUCAGUAUGACUGCAACAUAUAUCAACAUGUGAUUUUGUAUAGUCAUUUUAACCAGAAUGGAACAUGGAACUCUGGCUGCCGCUGGCACAUGGGCACGGGGCGUUCGUGCCCACUGCACCGUCAGUCAACGGACGUGGGAAGGCGUUGCUGACUGAUGGGGGAGUAGUCUUUGCAGAGGCAUCCGUCGGCCAAUCAAAUCGCUUCGCCGGGUUCUUCCCACUACUUCCUGCUUGUUGCGAUGUAAGAUGACCCGCUUUCCUGUUUUCCAGUAUCGUCAGAGCCCGAGUCGCGUCACAGUGCUUACAUUUGCAUACGCGAUCUGAUUGGAUGACGGAUCCGUUGCUGCCGAAAAAGUUGAACAUUUUUCAACUUCUUGACUGAGCCGAAGGCUCCAACGGAACGGACGGAUCCACAAUGCAUUGCGCGUCCGUCCCCAUUCAAAGUCAAUGGGGAUCAGUCAACGGACGGAGGUAGUGGGCACGGGGCGGAAGGGUCAUGCCCACUGCACCGUCAGUCAAAGGACGUAGAAGGCUUGGCUGGCGGAGGGGGGAGGUUUCCAGGGUCGUCAGAGCCCGAGUCGCGUCACAGUGCUUAAAUUUGCAUGCGGGAUCUGAUUGGAUGACGGAUCCGUUGCUGCUGAAAAAGUUGAACAUUUUUCAACUUUUUGACGGAACGGUGCGCACGGAUCCACCAUGUAUUAUGCGUCCGUCCCCAUUCAAAGUCAAUGGGGAUCAGUCAAUGGACGGAGGCAGUGGGCACGAGGCGUCAGGGCUUGUUCACACUACCUGCGUCUGUCGGCGGAUCUCAUGCACCAAUGCACUGCCCCCUAGUGGUUCCAGAUGCAAUAGCAGGGUAAUAAAACAUGGCUUUGAUAAACGGUCUCAGGUAUUUAUUUUUGUCAUUCAUCAGACCCGCUCACCCAAAUGCUACUUACAGUAUUACAUAAAUUUGAUUCAAGAAGCAGGUAGGGGUUAAACUGUGAACAGAUACAUGUGAUUUAAAGAGCAGUUGGGGGUAAAACUGUCACGCCGGGUCCUGCUACGCGGUCCACUACCUCCAUCUAGUGGCCACUUGACGCCAGUGGUCCUCCUCACACACCAGGCUGCAAUCAUCAAAUCACCAUUCCCUACUUCAGCCGGAGAUCUCCUACCAGCCGGCGCCAGUUCGUCGUUACGUCUACACAGUCAGUAUCGGUCCUACCAGUAUUCUUGAAAACUGUCUCUAGCCUGAACCCUUGAUAACCACCUCUCUUCCUCUCUAGUACUUCCCCUGCCAUCGAACCCCUGCCUGCCUAACUACCCGUCUGUCGCCAAGCCCCUGACUGCCUGCUCGUUACCGGGCCCCUGCCUGCCUGACUACCCAUCUG